rnacentral:hammerhead_ribozyme from 1 species
AUCCAGCUGACGAGUUUCAAAUAGGACGAAACGCGCGUUCUAUAU